rnacentral:lncRNA from 1 species
CAUUGUCAUUCCCAUUAUUCCUGCCAUUGUCAUUCCCAUUAACAUUGCCAUUAUUCCCAUUGUCAUUCCCAUUGUUAUUCCCAUUGUUAUUCCCAUUAUCAUUCCCAUCAUUCCCAAUGUCGUUCCCAUUGUUAUUCCCAUUAUUCCCAUUGUUAUUCCCAUUAUCAUUCCCAUUAUUCCCAUUAUUCCCAUUGUUAUUCCCAUUGUUAUUCCCAUUAUCAUUCCCAUCAUUCCCAUUGCUAUUCCCAUUAUUAUUCCCAUUCCCAUUAAUUCCCAUUAUUCCCAUUGUUAUUCCCAUUCCCAUUAUCAUUCCCAUUAUUCCUAUUGCUAUCCCCAUUAUCAUUCCCAUUAUUCCUGCCAUUGUCAUUCCCAUUAACAUUCCCAUUAACAUUCCCAUUAUCACUCCCAUUAUUCCCAUCGUUAUUCCCAUUAUCAUUCCCAUUAUUCCCAUUAUUCCUGCCAUUGUUAUUCCCAUUGUCAUUCCCAUUAUUGCCAUUGUCAUUCCCAUUGUCAUUCCCAUUGUCAUUCCCAUCAUUCCCAUUGUCAUUCCCAUUGUCAUUCCCAUUGUCAUUCCCAUUAUUCCUGCCAUUGUCAUUCCCAUUAACAUUGCCAUUAUUCCCAUUGUCAUUCCCAUUGU